AACGAACGCUGGCGGCAUGCCUAACACAUGCAAGUCGAACGAUCCCUUCGGGGAUAGUGGCGCACGGGUGCGUAACGCGUGGGAACCUGCCCUUAGGUUCGGAAUAACUCAGAGAAAUUUGAGCUAAUACCGGAUAAUGUCUUCGGACCAAAGAUUUAUCGCCUUUGGAUGGGCCCGCGUUGGAUUAGCUAGUUGGUGGGGUAAAGGCCUACCAAGGCGACGAUCCAUAGCUGGUCUGAGAGGAUGAUCAGCCACACUGGGACUGAGACACGGCCCAGACUCCUACGGGAAGCAGCAGUGGGGAAUAUUGGACAAUGGGCGAAAGCCUGAUCCAGCAAUGCCGCGUGAGUGAAGAAGGCCUUAGGGUUGUAAAGCUCUUUUACCCGGGAUGAUAAUGACAGUACCGGGAGAAUAAGCCCCGGCUAACUCCGUG
rnacentral:rRNA from 1 species